rnacentral:antisense_RNA from 1 species
UGUGGGAGCUGGCUUGACUGCGAUGCGGGCAACUCGGUACAUCAGGCACACCCGGUUGAUGCUAUCGCAGGCAAGCCAGCUCCCACC